GCAAGUCGAACGAGAAGCUUCUUCGGAAGUGGACAGUGGCAGACGGGUGAGUAACGCGUUGGGAUCUGCCCAGAGGUUCGGAACAACCAUUGGAAACGAUGGCUAAUACCGGAUAAGCCCUUAGGGGGAAAGAUUUAUUGCCCUUGGAUGAACCCGCGUAAGAUUAGCUAGUUGGUGAGGUAAUGGCUCACCGAGGCGACGAUCUUUAGCUGGUCUGAGAGGAUGAUC
rnacentral:rRNA from 1 species